rnacentral:rRNA from 1 species
GACGAACGCUGGCGGCGUGCCUAAUACAUGCAAGUAGAACGCUGAAGGAGGAGCUUGCUUCUCUGGAUGAGUUGCGAACGGGUGAGUAACGCGUAGGUAACCUGCCUGGUAGCGGGGGAUAACUAUUGGAAACGAUAGCUAAUACCGCAUAAUAGUAGAUGUUGCAUGACAUUUGCUUAAAAGGUGCAAUUGCAUCACUACCAGAUGGACCUGCGUUGUAUUAGCUAGUUGGUGGGGUAACGGCUCACCAAGGCGACGAUACAUAGCCGACCUGAGAGGGUGAUCGGCCACACUGGGACUGAGACACGGCCCAGACUCCUACGGGAGGCAGCAGUAGGGAAUCUUCGGCAAUGGACGGAAGUCUGACCGAGCAACGCCGCGUGAGUGAAGAAGGUUUUCGGAUCGUAAAGCUCUGUUGUAAGAGAAGAACGAGUGUGAGAG